CCUACGGGUGGCAGCAGUAGGGAAUAUUGCACAAUGGGGGAAACCCUGAUGCAGCGACGCCGCGUGAGUGAAGAAGUAAUUCGUUAUGUAAAGCUCUAUCAGCAGGGAAGAAAAUUACGGUACCUGAGUAAGAAGCCCCGGCUAACUACGUGCCAGCAGCCGCGGUAAUACGUAGGGGUGCAGCGUUAUCCGGAUUUACUGGGGGUAAAGGGGUCGUAGAGGGCAGUGCAAGUCUGGCGUGAAAGGCGGGGGCUCAACCCCCGGACUGCACUGGAAACUGUACGGCUGGAGUGCAGGAGAGGUAAGGGGAAUUCCUAGUGUAGCGGUGAAAUGCGUAGAUAUCAGGAGGAACACCAGUGGCGAAGGCGGCUUACUGGACUGUAACUGACGCUGAGGCUCGAAAGCGUGGGGAGCAAACAGGAUUAGAUACCCCUGUAGUC
rnacentral:rRNA from 1 species